UACGAAGGGGGCUAGCGUUGCUCGGAAUCACUGGGCGUAAAGCGCGCGUAGGCGGAUCCUUAAGUCGGGGGUGAAAUCCUGGAGCUCAACUCCAGAACUGCCUUCGAUACUGAGGAUCUCGAGUCCGGGAGAGGUGAGUGGAACUGCGAGUGUAGAGGUGAAAUUCGUAGAUAUUCGCAAGAACACCAGUGGCGAAGGCGGCUCACUGGCCCGGUACUGACGCUGAGGUGCGAAAGCGUGGGGAGCAAACAGG
rnacentral:rRNA from 1 species